AAGGGCACCACAAGAACGCGUGGAGCAUGUGGCUUAAUUUGACAACACGAGAAAUCUUACCGGGUCCGGACACACUGAGGAUUGACAGGUAUUAUUGCAGUUCAACUGCAUGUUAAAUAUGCUAGUCCUUUCAUGAUUAUGUGAUAGGUGGUGCAUGGCCGUUCUUAGUUCGUGGAGUGAUCUGUCUGCUUAAUUGCGUUUCACUAAGGGUUUAUUUUUAACUUUAAGUUAUAUAUUUUGACCCCUACUUUAAUUAGUAGUGUGUUUUGUCAACUUUAUAAUUUUAUAAUAAAACCCUGAAAGCAACGAACGUGACCG
rnacentral:rRNA from 1 species